rnacentral:rRNA from 1 species
AGUGAACGCUGGCGGUAGGCCUAACACAUGCAAGUCGAACGGCAGCACAGUAAGAGCUUGCUCUUACGGGUGGCGAGUGGCGGACGGGUGAGGAAUACAUCGGAAUCUACUUUUUCGUGGGGGAUAACGUAGGGAAACUUACGCUAAUACCGCAUAAGACCUACGUGUGAAAGCAGGGGAUCUUCGGACCUUGCGCGAUUGAAUGAGCCGAUGUCGGAUUAGCUAGUUGGCGGGGUAAAGGCCCACCAAGGCGACGAUCCGUAGCUGGUCUGAGAGGAUGAUCAGCCACACUGGAACUGAGACACGGUCCAGACUCCUACGGGAGGCAGCAGUGGGGAAUAUUGGACAAUGGGCGCAAGCCUGAUCCAGCCAUACCGCGUGGGUGAAGAAGGCCUUCGGGUUGUAAAGACCUUUUGUUGGGAAAGAAAAGCAGCAGGUUAAUACCCCGCUGUUCUGACGGUACCCAAAGAAUAAGCACCGGCUAACUUCGUG